rnacentral:lncRNA from 1 species
CGAAGCCUGAGAAUGACAUUGGAUUUAGCAACCAACGGAUCAUCGGCGACAUGGCAGCGAGCGUUUUCAUUUGGCUGGUGAAACCAGAAUGCGAGAGAUCGGGAAGUCGUGGGUCAAUUUGAAGAAAGAAAAAAAGAAACGAACCCCCAAACCUCCUAUAUUUCGAUCUCCCAUUAGACUGGAAUUGACAACCAAGGGAACAUCAGAAAGCUCAUAGAGAAUUGAACGGAUUCUGAUUCUGGGUGGGAAGGAGGGACCAUCUGACCUUUGAGGGUCCUUCCAGGAGGACUGAAGGAAGAGGAUGUCAGUAGCACCGAUAAUUAACCCACCAAUCAACCAGUGCCAGUGAUAUGUCAAGCUCUAGGCAUACAAAUGCCCUCAGAGAGUUUACAUUCUAAUGGAAAGACGGAAACAAUGGCUGGAAAAUCCAGGGUUCAAAUCUUGCUUAUGGUACUUUAAGCAAAUCACUUCAUUCUCUGUGCCUCAGUUUCCUCAUCUGUAAAACGAGGGGGUUGCCUUGGAUGACUUCUGAGGAACCUUCCUGCUGUGUCCUGGGGUGGAAUAAGCUCAGCUCCCUGAGGUCAGACUUCUUUUGCCCACCUGGAUGGGUCCCAGACCUCUCCAGAUGUCUUUCCCAGGGAGGUGAGCCUUCUAGCGAACAGGAACUCCUCCUUCCUAAACCGGAUAUGGGCUAAAGGACAAGGGGCCCGGAGUUGUUUUUUUCCCUUUCCUGACAUCCCUCCUUCUCCUUGGGGAUGGUUUCCUCAGCAAUGCAGGCAGCAGCUGUGGCUCGCAGCCCUCCCCAGAGCUUAGGAAUGUUUCCGUCCUCUCCCUCAAUCUUAAUGAGCCAUCAAGAGUGAGCAGCUUCCAGAGGGUCUGGGAGGGAGGGAGAGAGUCUUUCCCAUCAACCUCCUGCCCGUUUCCUGCUCCUUAACCUGGUAUCCAGGAACUUGGUUUUGGUCUCCA